rnacentral:rRNA from 1 species
UACGUAGGGUGCGAGCGUUGUCCGGAAUUACUGGGCGUAAAGAGCUCGUAGGGGGUUUGUCGCGUUGUUCGUGAAAACUCACAGCUUAACUGUGGGCGUGCGGGCGAUACGGGCAGACUGGAGUACUGCAGGGGAGACUGGAAUUCCUGGUGUAGCGGUGGAAUGCGCAGAUAUCAGGAGGAACACCGGUGGCGAAGGCGGAUCUCUGGGCCGUAACUGACGCUGAGGAGCGAAAGCGUGGGGAGCGAACAGG